rnacentral:rRNA from 1 species
ACGAGAAUCUGCGGAAAGAGGAUUCGUCCAAUUGAAGCAGAGGACAGUGGCGGACGGGUGAGUAACGCGUGAGGAACCUGCCUUUCAGAGGGGGACAACAGUUGGAAACGACUGCUAAUACCGCAUGACAUAUAGAUGUCGCAUGGCAUUUAUAUCAAAGAUUUAUCGCUGAAAGAUGGCCUCGCGUCUGAUUAGCUAGUUGGUGAGGUAACGGCCCACCAAGGCGACGAUCAGUAGCCGGACUGAGAGGUUGAACGGCCACAUUGGGACUGAGAUACGGCCCAGACUCCUACGGGAGGCAGCAGUGGGGAAUAUUGGGCAAUGGGCGCAAGCCUGACCCAGCAACGCCGCGUGAAGGAAGAAGGCUUUCGGGUUGUAAACUUCUUUUGUCAGGGACGAGUAGAAGACGGUACCUGACGAAUAAGCCACGGCUAACUACGUGUCAGCAGCCGCGGUAAUACGUAGGUGGCAAGCGUUGUCCGGAUUUACUGGGUGUAAAGGGCGUGUAGCCGGGAGGGCAAGUCAGAUGUGAAAUCCACGGGCUCAACUCGUGAACUGCAUUUGAAACUACUCUUCUUGAGUAUCGGAGAGGCAAUCGGAAUUCCUAGUGUAGCGGUGAAAUGCGUAGAUA